UCCCUGAACUCCCUAAAAAGUGUCGCACUACCGGUCUGCCGCCGCUCAAGAAGAACAUCAAAAGUCUUCACUUGUUCCAGUGUUCUGCAGUUCAGUGAGUUCACCUUCUUCACUUUUCAGUUCUUCUUUGAAUCUCCUUCUCCAUUUCGCUCUCCAUCACAUUGAAACACACCCUGCAAGUAAGUGUCGCCGCUCAAAAGUCUUCACCUGUUCUGCAGUUCACCUUCACUCGUUUAGCUGCUCGCCGCCUACCUGAUUUGGUAUUUUUGAAGCAAAAGGAGCAAAUAUUUGAAGGAUAUUUGUCUAUAGAUCGGAUCGGGUUUUUUUCUCUAAUUUUUAUUUUUAUUUUUUUAUAGAAGAUUGAGAGCAGAGCUACAAAAAGCCAGAAACUGGACCAUGCUAGGAUAUGUUUAAUAUAUGUUUAUGAUUCUAUAAACUUUUGGUUAUGAACUUUUUUAAUAUGUUUAUUGACUUUUGGGUUUGAACUUUUUUAAUAUGU